rnacentral:rRNA from 1 species
GAUGAUCGCCGGCGGCGUGCCUAAUACAUGCAAGUUGAGCGAAGCGGGGACGGGUGAGUAACACGUGGAUAACCUCCUAUAAGACCGGGAUAACUACGGGACACCGGAGCUAAACCGCAUACUUAUAGCUGGAUCCGCGCUGCAUUAGCUAGUUGGUAAGGUAACGGCUUACCAAGGCAACGAUGCAUAGCCGACCUGAGAGGGUUAUCGGCCACCCGGGAACAGAUCCACGGUCCAAAGGCCAACGGGAGGCAGCAGUGGGGAAUCUUCCGCGAUGGGCGAAAGCCUGACGGGGCAACGCCGAGUGAGGGAUGAAGUUCGGCGGAACGUAAAACACUGUUAUUAGGGAAGCGGUACCUAAUCAGAAAGCCACGGGUAACUACGUGCCAGCAGCCGCGGUAAUAC